rnacentral:rRNA from 1 species
AGUGAACGCUGGCGGUAGGCCUAACACAUGCAAGUCGAACGGCAGCACAGUAAGAGCUUGCUCUUACGGGUGGCGAGUGGCAGACGGGUGAGGAAUACAUCGGCAUCUACUUUUUCGUGGGGGAUCACGUAGGGAAACUUACGCUAAUACCGCAUACGACCUACGGGUGAAAGCAGGGGAUCUUCGGACCUUGCGCGAUUGAAUGAGCCGAUGUCGGAUUAGCUAGUUGGCGGGGUAAAGGCCCACCAAGGCGACGAUCCGUAGCUGGUCUGAGAGGAUGAUCAGCCACACUGGAACUGAGACACGGUCCAGACUCCUACGGGAGGCAGCAGUGGGGAAUAUUGGACAAUGGGCGCAAGCCUGAUCCAGCCAUACCGCGUGGGUGAAGAAGGCCUUCGGGUUGUAAAGCCCUUUUGUUGGGAAAGAAAAGCAGCAGGUUAAUACCCCGCUGUUCUGACGGUACCCAAAGAAUAAGCACCGGCUAACUUCGUG